rnacentral:rRNA from 1 species
CCUACGGGAGGCAGCAGUGAGGAAUAUUGGUCAAUGGGCUUACGCCUGAACCAGCCAAGUCGCGUGAGGGAAGACUGCCCUAUGGGUUGUAAACCUCUUUUGUCAGGGAGCAACGCCGGCUACGUGUAGCCGGACUGAGAGUACCUGAAGAAAAAGCAUCGGCUAACUCCGUGCCAGCAGCCGCGGUAAUACGGAGGAUGCGAGCGUUAUCCGGAUUUAUUGGGUUUAAAGGGUGCGUAGGCGGGCUUUUAAGUCAGCGGUAAAAAUUCGGGGCUCAACCCCGUCCGGCCGUUGAAACUGGGGGC